rnacentral:rRNA from 1 species
GGGCAUGCCUGUUUGAGCGUCGUUUCUCCCUCAAACCGCUGGGUUUGGUGUUGAGCAAUACGACUUGGGUUUGCUUGAAAGACGGUAGUGGUAAGGCGGGAUCGCUUUGACAAUGGCUUAGGUCUAACCAAAAACAUUGCUUGCGGCGGUAACGUCUACUACGUAUAUCUUCAAACUUUGACCUCAAAUCAGGUAGGACUACCCGCUGAACUUAAGCAUAUCAAUAAGCGGAGGAAAAGAAACCAACAGGGAUUGCCUCAGUAGCGGCGAGUGAAGCGGCAAAAGCUCAAAUUUGAAAUCUGGCGUCUUUGGCGUCCGAGUUGUAAUUUGAAGAAGGUAUCUUUGGGCCCGGCUCUUGUCUAUGUUCCUUGGAACAGGA